rnacentral:tRNA from 1 species
GGGCGAUUAGCUCAGGGGUAGAGCGUCCGCCUUACACGCGGAUGGUCGGGGGUUCAAAUCCCUCAUCGCCCA